AAUAAGAUAGGAUAUGUGAGUCUAACGGGUUCAUACCUCGUAGGAAGUAAUUCUUGUUA
rnacentral:tRNA from 1 species